rnacentral:rRNA from 1 species
AUGGAUCAAAUAAAGGAGUUGUAUGAGGGUGAUGAAGACUUUGGCCAUGUUUGGGUAAAGCACGCAAGGGGCCAACCAUUAGGUGAUGACUAUUUGUUGCAAGAUGGAUAUCUCUUCAAAAAUGAUCGUUUGUGCAUUCCAAGAAGUUCUUUACGUGACAAGCUGGUUAGAGAGCUCCAUUCAAGUGAUCUUAGUGGCCAUGUUGGAUGGGACAAGACUAUCUCUAACCUGGAAGCUUGCUACUUUUGGCCACAAUUAAAGAGAGAUGCUAGAAAGUUCGUUCAACGGUGCCCCGUAUGUCAGACCUGCAAAGGCCAAGUCCAAAACACAGGGUUAUACAUGCCUUUGCCAGUUCCUGUUGCUCCAUGGGAGGACAUUUCUAUGAACUUCGUCUUGGGCUUGCCAAGAACAAGACGAGGAAGUGAUGUUGUAUUUGUGGUGGUGGAUAGAUUCUCUAAGAUGGCUCAUUUCAUCCUAUGCCGCAAGACAACGGAUGCUCAUCAUGUGGCAAACCUAUUCUUUCGAGAAGUGGUCAGCCUUCAUGGAGUUCCAAGGUCCAUUGUCUCCGACCGUGAUAGCAAGUUUCUUGCUGCAUUUUGGCUCACUUUGUGGAAGCAAUUCAACACUGAAUUGAAAUUUUCUAGCACUGCUCAUCCACAAACAGAUGGACAAACGGAAGUGGUGAACAAGUUUUUGGGUAAUCUAAUCCGUUGCAUUUGUGGAGAAAGAAAGGGACAAUGGGAUUUGGCUUUAUCUCUUGCAGAAUUCUCCUACAAUAACUCCAAGCAUAGAUCCACAGGAAGGAGCCCUUUUUCCAUUGUCUACACUAAA